GAUGAACGCUGGCGGCGUGCCUAAUACAUGCAAGUCGAGCGAACAGACGAGGAGCUUGCUCCUCUAACGUUAGCGGCGGACGGGUGAGUAACACGUGGAUAACCUACCUAUAAGACUGGGAUAACUUCGGGAAACCGGGGCUAAUACCGGAUAAUAUAUUGAACCGCAUGGUUCAAUAGUGAAAGACGGUUUUGCUGUCACUUAUAGAUGGAUCCGCGCCGCAUUAGCUAGUUGGUAAGGUAACAGCUUACCAAGGCAACGAUGCGUAGCCGACCUGAGAGGGUGAUCGGCCACACUGGAACUGAGACACGGUCCAGACUCCUACGGGAGGCAGCAGUAGGGAAUCUUCCGCAAUGGGCGAAAGCCUGACGGAGCAACGCCGCGUGAGUGAUGAAGGUCUUCGGAUCGUAAAACUCUGUUAUUAGGGAAGAACAAAUGUGUAAGUAACUAUGCACGUCUUGACGGUACCUAAUCAGAAAGCCACGGCUAACUACGUG
rnacentral:rRNA from 1 species